rnacentral:lncRNA from 1 species
CCUAGCCCCCUUCUCAUCUCUUUCUGUGGUUAGUGCUCUGAUGUCCCGACAUAGAUAAUCUUGAAGUAAUUCUUGAUUCUUAGAUCAACUAGAGAACUCUCAGGAAACUUCCUCUCUUCCCACCAAAAACAAUUAUAUAGUUAUCCCUGGGCGAUCUUGGAUCUUAAUUAGUACACUCACGUUCUCUGUGGAAAAUCGAUACUCUGGAAUACUCCCGGGUGAAGGCUACAUCGGUAUCCGUGCGCUUGCAGAUUUUUCUGUUUGCGUUUAAAAUACCCAAC